rnacentral:rRNA from 1 species
AGUGAACGCUGGCGGCGUGCUUAACACAUGCAAGUCGAACGAUGAAACCUAGCUUGCUAGGUGGAUUAGUGGCGCACGGGUGAGUAAUAUAUAGAUAAUGUACCUCUUAGUCUGGGAUAGCCAUUGGAAACGAUGAUUAAUACUAGAUACUCCUUCUCCUUCUAAUUGGAGUUGGGAAAGUUUUUCGCUAAGAGAUCAGUCUAUAUCCCAUCAGUUAGUUGGUAGGGUAAUGGCCUACCAAGGCAAUGACGGGUAGCGGGUUUGAGAGGAUGAUCCGCCACACUGGUACUGAGACACGGACCAG